CCUACGGGAGGCUGCAGUGGGGAAUUUUGGACAAUGGGCGCAAGCCUGAUCCAGCUAUUCCGCGUGUGGGAAGACGGCCUUCGGGUUGUAAACCACUUUUGUAGAGAACGAAAAGUCUGUUGAUAAUACCGAUAGAUGAUGACGGUACUCUAAGAAUAAGCACCGGCUAACUACGUGCCGGCAGCCGCGGUAAUACGUAGGGUGCGAGCGUUAAUCGGAAUUACUGGGCGUAAAGGGUGUGCAGGCGGUUUUGCAAGAUGGAUGUGAAAGCCCCGGGCUUAACCUGGGAAAGCCAUACAUGACUGCAAGACUAGAGUGCGUCAGAGGGGGGUGGAAUUCCAAGUGUAGCAGUGAAAUGCGUAGAUAUUUGGAAGAACACCGAUGGCGAAGGCAGCCCCCUGGGACGCAACUGACGCUCAUACACGAAAGCGUGGGGAGCAAACAGGAUUAGAUACCCGUGUAGUC
rnacentral:rRNA from 1 species